UACGUAGGUCCCGAGCGUUGUCCGGAUUUAUUGGGCGUAAAGCGAGCGCAGGCGGUUAGAAAAGUCUGAAGUGAAAGGCAGUGGCUCAACCAUUGUAGGCUUUGGAAACUGUUUAACUUGAGUGCAGAAGGGGAGAGUGGAAUUCCAUGUGUAGCGGUGAAAUGCGUAGAUAUAUGGAGGAACACCGGUGGCGAAAGCGGCUCUCUGGUCUGUCACUGACGCUGAGGCUCGAAAGCGUGGGGAGCGAACAGG
rnacentral:rRNA from 2 species